GACGAACGCUGGCGGCGUGCUUAACACAUGCAAGUCGAACGGAAAGGCCCUGCUUUUGUGGGGAGCUCGAGUGGCGAACGGGUGAGUAACACGUGAGUAACCUGCACUUGACUUUGGGAUAACUUCAGGAAACUGGGGCUCAUACCGGAUAGGAGCUACUGCUGCAUGGUGGGGGUUGGAAAGUUUCGGCGGUUGGGGAUGGAAUAGCGGCUCAUCAGCUUGAUGGUGGGGUAGUGGCUUACCAUGGCCUUGAAGGGUAGCCGGCCUGAGAGGGUGACCGGCCACAUUGGGACUGAGAUACGGCCCAGACUACUACGGGAGGCAGCGGUGGAGAAGAUUACACUGUGGGCGGAAGCCUGAUGUAGCAACGCCGCGUGCGGGAUGACGGCCAUCGGGUUGUGAACCACUUUCGCCUGUGACGAAGCGUUAGUGACGGUAAUGGGUAAAGAAGCACCGGCUAACUACGUG
rnacentral:rRNA from 1 species